rnacentral:misc_RNA from 1 species
GAUGAAGAACGUAGCGAAAUGCGAUAAGUAAUGUGAAUUGCAGAAUUCAGUGAAUCAUCGAAUCUUUGAACGCACAUUGCGCCCCCUGGUAUUCCGGGGGGCAUGCCUGUUCGAGCGUCAUUUCACCACUCAAGCCUCGCUUGGUAUUGGGCAACGCGGUCCGCCGCGUGCCUCAAAUCGACCGGCUGGGUCUUCUGUCCCCUAAGCGUUGUGGAAACUUUCGCUAAAGGGUGUUCGGGAGUCUACGCCGUAAAACAACCCCAUUUCUAAGGUUGACCUCGGAUCAGGUAGGGAUACCCGCUGAACUUAAGCAUAUCAAUAAGCGGAGGA